CGCGUAGGCGGUUGAUUAAGUCGGAUGUGAAAGCCCUGGGCUUAACCUGGGAACUGCAUUCGAAACUGGAGGUCUUGAGUACAGGAGAGGAAAGUGGAAUUCCAGGUGUAGCGGUGAAAUGCGUAGAUAUCUGGAAGAACACCAGUAGCGAAGGCGGCUUUCUGGACUGAUACUGACGCUAAAGCGCGAAGGCUUGGGGAGCAAACA
rnacentral:rRNA from 1 species